CGCCUUAUACUCCUACGGGAGGCAGCAGUGGGGAAUUUUGGACAAUGGGGGCAACCCUGAUCCAGCAAUGCCGCGUGAGUGAUGAAGGCCCUAGGGUUGUAAAGCUCUUCCACCCGGGAAGAUAAUGACUGUACCGGGAGAAUAAGCCCCGGCUAACUCCGUGCCAGCAGCCGCGGUAAUACGGAAGGGGCUAGCGUUGUUCGGAAUUACUGGGCGUAAAGCGCACGUAGGCGGCUUUGUAAGUCAGAGGUGAAAGCCUGGAGCUCAACUCCAGAACUGCCUUUGAGACUGCAUCGCUUGAAUCCAGGAGAGGUCAGUGGAAUUCCGAGUGUAGAGGUGAAAUUCGUAGAUAUUCGGAAGAACACCAGUGGCGAAGGCGGCUGACUGGACUGGUAUUGACGCUGAGGUGCGAAAGCGUGGGGAGCAAACAGGAUUAGAUACCCUUGUAGUCCACGUACCA
rnacentral:rRNA from 1 species